UAUCCGGGAAAGUAACUUCAAGUUAGAAGAGGUAAGGUUCCCACAGAUGCUGGUGACGAAAAAUGGAAGCCCAGACUGAAGAGCCUUUUCUGACAUCCUCAUUUGUUCUGCUGUGUAAUAGCAUGGGAUCUUUCAGAGCUGUCGACAUCUGCUCCACUCUGGAGAGCUGCAGAACCGAGCCAGCAAAGCAAUAAUAAUUAUGCCCGAAUGGACUGCAAAGGAUGUAAGAGAUAAGAAGGAAGACAAGAAAAAAAAUACAUUGAAUGCAGUGGUGUUCCAA